UACGGGGGGGGCAAGCGUUGUUCGGAAUUACUGGGCGUAAAGCGCACGUAGGCGGCUUUUCAAGUCAGGCGUGAAAGCCCCGGGCUCAACCUGGGAACCGCGCUUGAGACUGGAGAACUAGAGUUCGGGAGAGGAUGGUGGAAUUCCCAGUGUAGAGGUGAAAUUCGUAGAUAUUGGGAAGAACACCGAUGGCGAAGGCAGCCAUCUGGACCGACACUGACGCUGAGGCGCGAAAGCGUGGGGAGCAAACAGG
rnacentral:rRNA from 1 species